GUGAAUCAUCGAAUUUUUGAAUGCAUAUUGCACUCUCUGGUAUUCCGGAGAGUAUGCCUGUUUGAGGGUCAUUUUAAAUAAUAUAAAUUUCGAGAUUUUCUUUGAAUCAAAAAUGGGGCGGUCGAGGUUUCGUGUUGUGGUCGCCUGAAGUGUAAGACAAACUCAUUUCUUGGGUUGCUUGAUG
rnacentral:misc_RNA from 1 species